UACAUAUAUGUUAUUUACCGGCUGCGAGGUCCGGAUGAGAAAAACUGUGCCCGAGGGGCGUUUUCAAGACCGAGGGCACAGUUUUUCUCAUCCGGACCGACGCUGCCGGUAAAUAACGUGUUUAUU